UACGGGGGGGGCAAGCGUUGUUCGGAAUUACUGGGCGUAAAGGGCUCGUAGGCGGCCAACUAAGUCAGACGUGAAAUCCCCAGGCUCAACCUGGGAACUGCGUCUGAUACUGGAUGGCUUGAAUUCGGGAGAGGGAUGCAGAAUUCCAGGUGUAGCGGUGAAAUGCGUAGAUAUCUGGAGGAACACCGGUGGCGAAGGCGGCAUCCUGGACCGGCAUUGACGCUGAGGAGCGAAAGCUAGGGGAGCAAACAGG
rnacentral:rRNA from 1 species